rnacentral:lncRNA from 1 species
ACCGCCACCGCCGGCAACUUUGUGAGCGAGUUCGCUGUGUGCGUGAGCAAGGAGAGCGCGCGGCGGACGCGCCCCGGACGCGCGGCCGCACCGGGAGGCCGGGCCGAGUGGUUCAAUUUCAAAUUUGAAUCUCCUGUAAUAUUGACUGUAAACUAAUUUCCCAAGAUUUUUGUGUAAGAGGCAGAUGAAAAAGACUGUACUUUCAGGUUUUGCGAGAAUACCUCACAUCAGACUCCGAAGCAAGAUUUACUCCCAACUUUGAAGUGGAAUCUGGUUAUGCGUUGUUAAUGAGGAUGCUAUUGUCUAAAUUUCUGUAGCUAUGGCACAAGAAUAUAUGGAAAUAUAAAAACAAAGGUUCUAUUUACUUAUUUUUUAAAAUUAUUUUAUUGAAAUGUAGUAUAUUUCCAUUGUAUUAAUUUCUGCUAUAUAGCAAGAUGAUUCAGUUGUGUGUGUGUGUGUGUGUAUAUUCACUUUUCAUAUUCUUUUUCAUUACGGUUUAUCACAGGCUAUUGAAUAUAGUUCCCUGUGCUGUACAGUAGGACUUUGUUGUUUAUCCAUCCCAUAUAUAAUCGUUUGUGUCUGCUAAUCCCAAAUUCCCAAUCCAUUCCUCACUCAGCCCCUACCACUUGGCAACCACAAGUUUCUUUAUGACCCUGAGGCUCUUUCUGAAACAAAGUUCUUUUUUUUUUUUUUUUCUUUUUCCUGCUGCACCUGUGGCAUAUGGAAGUUCCCUGGCCAGGAGUUGAAUUGGAGCAGCAGCUGCCAGCCUACACCACAGCCAUAGCAAGAGCAACACCAGAUCUGAGCCACAUCUACGUCAUCUGAUUUUUGUGUCUUUAGCUUUAUAUAUAUGUACAAAGAUAUCAUGAUUUUGAUUUAUUUAGUCUUCCAAUAACACAGAAUGGCUCAGGCUCUUCCCUGUAAAUGCUAGUGAGUAGACAUUAGGGUUGGAUCCAUAUUAUGCACUCUGUUUUACCCCCAGGUUAUGGGGUUAGGAACUGACCACAGCUCCAGGAUGGGUCCUGAUUAGGGGCAACCCCAUCACUGCUGUGUCCAAGAUUAACUCAUUGUGGAGGAGGCAGCGGCCAGUGUUGGGCAUUAACUGGCCGGAGGGCUUGUUUCAAGAAUGGCCCUGAGGUGUCCUGCUCUAACAGCUAGGCUCCAAAGUAGGCUUGCCAAGAGCUUCUGGCAGGAGUCGUUUCACAUUUAACACAGAGCUACCCGAAGAGUCUGCCUCUCUUUCCCUUCUUCUGGAUGUCGGUAGAUGCUGGUGUGAGGUCUUGUGUGACUCCAGGCUGAGCCAGAAGUCACACAGGAUGGAGGGCAGAGAAAUCAGCCGUGAAGCCGGUUCCUCCUCCAGAAGUCCAAGCGUUAGAGCCAGGAGCAUUUCCUUUUGGUUUAAGCCAGUUAAGUUGGGAGCCAAAACAUCCUAAGUGAUUUCCUUAAUCUCCAUUUCAUUUUUAGUAGUCCAUUAGUUUCUCCCCGGGCUGUGGGAGUAAUUACAAGGGAAAGCAGAAUAAUACUGUUAAAUUAAACUGGCAGGGUGUGUUGGUGUUGACUGGCACCCUCUCCACUCUGAGCAACUCCCAGGUAGAUUUUGUGUUCAGAGACAGGACAAUGAAAUCCAUUGCUUCCUGAAUCUCCCUUUCCUUUCCCAGAGGUUUUUCCUUUUUAAUCAGCCCAUUUGGACCAUGAAUGCUGCAAAGGGUCUUGGAUUGCUGGCCUAAAAACCAUCCCCUGGUAUAGGUGUAUAUUGGACAGUGUGGAGCUGUCCCUGGGGUUUUCUUAGAACAGUCUGUGCCCAAACUUCUAAUUCCUUAUUUUCUUUUGGUCUUAAAAAAUUACUGUGAAUAUUCAAAUAAAAAAACUGUAUAAGAAAUGAUAUUCAUAUGUACUCUCCCACAGCAUUGUAGACACAGAAUAUUUACCAAGUUUGUGGAACAGUUAAAAAACCCACAGUCAGGGUUCCCAUUGUGGCCCAUGGGUUACGAACCUGACUGGUGUCCAUGAGGAUGCAGGUUUGAUCCCGGACCUCACUCAGUGGGUUAAGGAUCUGGUGUUUCCGUGAGCUGGGGUAUAGGUCGAAGAUGCAGCUCACAUCUUGAGUAGCUGCAUUGCUGUGGUGUAGGCUGGCACCUGCAGCUCCAAUUCAGCCCCUAACCUGAGAACUUCCAUAUGCCACAGGAGGAGCCC